GACCCGUCGUCGCUUGAGUCGGAGGGCCUUCCUCACUCAGUUUGGCUGUGGUGUAACGGGCGCUCGACCCAUCACAACCUCCUUGAGUGAGUGAGGCCUCGCCGAGCCACGCCACCCGUUGCUC
rnacentral:precursor_RNA from 14 species